CCAUUGUGACCGGUCUGGUCAGCGGUUUGAACUCUGCUGCCCUGCAGCCAGGUAAACAACUAUCUGCUCCCCAACCUUAGAAGCCCCAGGAAUUUGUGAAAUUCCAUUUCCUGCUGGCUCAGAGUGGAGAGGUCUCAUCGCAUCUUCCCAGAUGUGGCCUUCAGGAACACUCCACACACACCGGAGCGACUCCACCAGAUAAGAAAGCAUCCAAGAUGCAGCAAAGACAACAUGUUCUGGGAGGUACUUCAUGGCUCCAAUGCAGAGAUAAGGGAACAUAAGGAGUGCUGGGAAGCCAAAAGGCAGGACAGAAAAGAGAAUCAGUCACAGAGAGGAUCUUCAGCACUCUUUCCAAAAGGAAAUGGAGUGAGAUUAUGACAUCAUCUUCCAACCGUCAGAGACAGGAUAGCUGAGAUGGACCACUCUGGCAGUGUUUGUAAACCUCCGUGCAUGGCUAAACCCAUUCAUUUCUGGGUGUUGAAGUUCCUGUAACUUCUGUCUUGUUUCACUUUACUGUCCAGUUGCAUUUGGGUGGAUAUCACAAAUACUAAGAACUCCUAAAACCCCACCCAUUCCAUGUAGCAUUCAACUGCAACAGCAACCCCCUGCUCUGUGUAUUUUUUAUUAUGUUCUCUUCCACUGUGUUUCUUGUCUGCACAGUUAGAUUGCAACCCUUUUAGGGCAGGGUUCUGUUAUCUGUUUGGCAGGA